rnacentral:rRNA from 1 species
CCUACGGGAGGCAGCAGUAAGGAAUAUUGGUCAAUGGACGCAAGUCUGAACCAGCCAUGCCGCGUGAAGGAUGAAGGUCCUCUGGAUUGUAAACUUCUUUUAUAGGGGACGAAAAAAGAGAAUUCUUUCUCACUUGACGGUACCCUAGGAAUAAGCACCGGCUAACUCCGUGCCAGCAGCCGCGGUAAUACGGAGGGUGCAAGCGUUAUCCGGAUUUACUGGGUUUAAAGGGUGCGUAGGUGGGUCUGUAAGUCAGUGGUGAAAUCUCCGGGCUUAACCCGGAAACUGCCAUUGAUACUAUAGAUCUUGAAUACUCUGGAGGUAAGCGGAAUAUGUCAUGUAGCGGUGAAAUGCUUAGAUAUGACAUAGAACACCAAUUGCGAAGGCAGCUUACUACGGGGUUAUUGACACUGAGGCACGAAAGCGUGGGGAUCAAACAGGAUUAGAUACCCUGGUAGUCCACGCCCUAAACGAUGGAUACUCGACAUCAGCGAUACACUGUUGGUGUCUGNGNGAAGANAUAGUAUCCACCGNGGAGAGAGCGCGAGAGUUAGAACGUACGAAAGGAAAGUUAGAGGCGNGAGAGNGCCGACGGACGACGACGAGGGAGGAGG